rnacentral:rRNA from 1 species
CACGCUGUAAACGAUGAUAACUCGUUGUCGGCGAUAUACGGUCGGUGACUGAGCGAAAGCGAUAAGUUAUCCACCUGGGGAGUACGAUCGCAAGGUUGAAACUCAGAGGAAUUGACGGGGGCCCGCACAAGCGGAGGAGCAUGUGGUUUAAUUCGAUGAUACGCGAGGAACCUUACCUAGACUUGAACGUAAGAGUAAUAAUUUAGAAAUAGAUUAGCUAGUAAUAGACGCUUACGAGGUGCUGCAUGGUUGUCGUCAGCUCGUGCCGUGAGGUGUCAGGUUAAGUCCUAUAACGAGCGCAACCCCUACACUUAGUUGCCAGCAUGUCAUGAUGGGGACUCUAAGUGGACUGCCAGCGCAAGCUGC